GAAAAGAACUCAUCCCCAAUUUUCUUAACCUCAAAUAGCCCGGCUCCAAUACCAACAUCAGACUCCUGCAAUUCAUCCGGUCUGUUCACAAUGACAGCCCCACAUGCCUUUGCAAUUCUAUUAUUGUCUGUCUUCCUCAACCUUCUGAUUGCACUUACACCAGCCUUGCUUAGAUAAUGGCACGCCAAAUCACUAAGCCCUUUCUCUGUGAUAACCAGAUCUGGUUUAAAUUUUAGUAUCUGCAUACACAUACUCUCAAUAUACUCCUCUUCCAUUUUCAGUAGGACUGCCCAGUCUUCUUCUUUAACCAACUCUGCAUUUGUUUGGUUCUCACCUUUCUUGUAUUCAAGGGGACAGUCAAGAAGAAUUAUUCGUGGGUUGACAAUCUUUCUCCUCAUUUUGCCAGGGGC
rnacentral:misc_RNA from 1 species